rnacentral:rRNA from 1 species
CCAGAUAUUCCUGUACCACCGCUAUAUGAUGACGAAGCAGUGACGCAGAAAGGUAGAGCGAGCGGCCAGUUGGUGAGCCGUUCAAGUGAGUAGGGUGUUGCGUAGGCAAAUCCGCGCAACGUGAGCCUGAGACACGAUGACGAGUGAAAAAUAGUAACGAAGUCCUUGAUCCUCCGCUGCCAAGAAAAGCUGCUAAGGAAUAUAGAGGUGCCCGUACCGCAAACCGACACAGGUAGACAGGUAGAGAAUACUAAGGCGCGCGAGAUAACUCUUGUUAAGGAACUCUGCAAAAUGAACCCGUAACUUCGGGAGAAGGGUUGCUCUCUAGCGUGAGUAUGAGCAAUACAGAGCGCAGGAGAGUCGCAGUGAAAAGGUCCAGGCGACUGUUUAGCAAAAACACAGGUCAUUGCAAAAUCGCAAGAUGAAGUAUAAUGGCUGACGCCUGCCCGGUGCUGGAAGGUUAAGGGGAAGAGUGCAAGCUUUGAACCGAAGCCCCAGUAAACGGCGGCCGUAACGAUAACGGUCCUAAGGUAGCGAAAUUCCUUGUCGGGUAAGUUCCGACCCGCACGAAAGGCGAAACGAUCUGGACGCUGUCUCAACAAGGGACUCGGUGAAAUUGAAAUUCCGGUAAAGAUGCCGGAUACCUGCGAUAGGACAGAAAGACCCCAUGGAGCUUUACUGUAGCCUGAUAUUGGGUUUCGGAUAUUCAUGUACAGGAUAGGUGGGAGACUAAGAAGCAUGGACGCCAGUUUGUGCGGAGUCACUGGUGGGAUACCACCCUUAAAUGUUUGGAAUUCUAACAAGGAGUCUUGAAGCAGAUUAUUGGACAGUGUCAGGUGGGCAGUUUGACUGGGGCGGUCGCCUCCCAAAAGGUAACGGAGGCGCUCAAAGGUUCCCUCAGAACGGAUGGAAAUCGUUCGCAGAGUGCAAAGGCAGAAGGGAGCUUGACUGCGAGAGCCACAACUCGAGCAGAUAGGAAACUAGGACUUAGUGAUCCGGCGGUCGCGAGUGGAAGUGCCGUCGCUCAACGGAUAAAAGCUACCCUGGGGAUAACAGGCUUAUCUCCCCCAAGAGUUCACAUCGACGGGGAGGUUUGGCACCUCGAUGUCGGCUCAUCGCAUCCUGGGGCUGAAGUAGGUCCCAAGGGUUGGGCUGUUCGCCCAUUAAAGCGGUACGCGAGCUGGGUUCAGAACGUCGUGAGACAGUUCGGUCCCUAUCCAUCGCGGGCGUAGGAAAUUUGAAGGGAGCUGACCCUAGUACGAGAGGACCGGGUUGGACAGACCGCUGGUGAACCAGUUGUUCUGCCAAGAGCAUAGCUGGGUAGCUAAGUCUGGAAAAGAUAAACGCUGAAAGCAUCUAAGCGUGAAGCGAACCUUAAGAUGAGAUUUCCCACAACGAAAGUUGAUAAGACACCAGAGAGAAUAACUGGUAGAUAGGUCAGGAGUGUAAGUGUGGUGACACAUUAAGCGGACUGAUACUAAUAAGUC